GGAAACUGACGGAACUCUUCGGAGGGAAGGCAGCGGAAUGAGCGGCGGACGGGUGAGUAACACGUAAGGAACCUGCCUCAAGGAUUGGGAUAACUCCGAGAAAUCGGAGCUAAUACCGGAUAGUUCAACGGACCGCAUGGUCCGCUGAUGAAAGGCGCUUCGGCGUCACCUUGAGAUGGCCUUGCGGUGCAUUAGCUAGUUGGUGGGGUAACGGCCCACCAAGGCGACGAUGCAUAGCCGACCUGAGAGGGUGAUCGGCCACACUGGGACUGAGACACGGCCCAGACUCCUACGGGAGGCAGCAGUAGGGAAUCUUCCACAAUGGACGAAAGUCUGAUGGAGCAACGCCGCGUGAGUGAUGAAGGUUUUCGGAUCGUAAAACUCUGUUGUAAGGGAAGAACACGUACGAGAGGUAAUGCUCGUACCUUGACGGUACCUUACGAGAAAGCCACGGCUAACUACGUGCCAGCAGCCGCGGUAAUACGUAGGUGGCAAGCGUUGUCCGGAAUUAUUGGGCGUAAAGCGCGCGCAGGCGGCCUUUUAAGUCUGAUGUGAAAGCCCCCGGCUCAACCGGGGAGGGCCAUUGGAAACUGGAAGGCUUGAGUACAGAAGAGAAGAGUGGAAUUCCACGUGUAGCGGUGAAAUGCGUAGAGAUGUGGAGGAACACCAGUGGCGAAGGCGACUCUUUGGUCUGUAACUGACGCUGAGGC
rnacentral:rRNA from 1 species